rnacentral:rRNA from 1 species
GAUUCUGGCUCAGGAUGAACGCUGGCGGCGCGCUUAACACAUGCAAGUCGAACGGUUAAAGCCCCUUCGGGGGUGCAUAAAGUGGCGAACGGCUGAGUAACACGUGGGCAACCUGCCCCCCGCACCGGGAUAGCCUCGGGAAACCGUGGGUAAUACCGGAUACUCCCUCCCUGCCGCAUGGCUGGGAGGGGAAAUGCGUACACGGCGGGGGAUGGGCCCGCGGCCUGUUAGCUCGUUGGCGGGGUAACGGCCCACCAAGGCGAUUAUGGGUAGCCGGGUUGAGAGACCGACCGGCCAGAUUGGGACUGAGACACGGCCCAGACUCCUACGGGAGGCAGCAGUGGGGAAUCUUGCACAAUGGGCGAAAGCCUGAUGCAGCGACGCCGCGUGCGGGAAGAAGGCCCUCGGGUUGUAAACCGCUUUCAGCAGGGACGAGGCGCAAGUGACGGUACCUGCAGAAGAAGCCCCGGCUAACUACGUGCCAGCCGCCGC